GAAGUCUACCAUACCAGCCUGAACAUACCGGAUCUUCUCUGAUCUCAGAAGCUAAGCACGUGGGGCCUGGUUAGUACUUGGAUGGGAGAAAGGCAGGGAGGACUAAA
rnacentral:rRNA from 1 species